AUUCUUCUUGCCGUGAAGAUGAAGUUUCUUACCAGUGUUGCGCUGUUCGUGAUAAUUUUGUCGAUUUUGCUGCUUGAAGUCGAGAGUAGCACAACGGCUGGAUUAGGGGCAGCUCUAAGCAUUUCCCAUUCAUACACUGUCAUUACUCAUUCUGACCAUAUAACCAAAAGAAAAGCUAUACAGAAGGGGCAGACGGUAUAUCUUGGGAAGAAAGGCGGAAAAUGCCACUUCAAAAAAUGCUGGACGGCGUGCUAUGAUCUGCUCGGAAGGGGUGGGCAAUGUUCCUCCGACCAAGAAGUGUGCGUCUGUUUCAAUGAGUGAAACUUCAGCACUAGUGUGGCUGCAAUAAGAGAGUGACCACAUAAAGCUUUCGUAUUUUGUCUUCAUUUCGAAUUAAGUGUGAAAAAUUAAUGAUGAAAAUAAAUUGCAGCCGAAAAAUAGAAAAAA